rnacentral:rRNA from 1 species
GAUGAACGCUGGCGGCGUGCCUAAUACAUGCAAGUCGAGCGAACGGACGAGAAGCUUGCUUCUCUGAUGUUAGCGGCGGACGGGUGAGUAACACGUGGAUAACCUACCUAUAAGACUGGGAUAACUUCGGGAAACCGGAGCUAAUACCGGAUGAUAUUUUGAUCCGCAUGGUUCAAAAGUGAAAGACGGUCUUGCUGUCACUUAUAGAUGGAUCCGCGCUGCAUUAGCUAGUUGGUAAGGUAACGGCUUACCAAGGCAACGAUGCAUAGCCGACCUGAGAGGGUGAUCGGCCACACUGGAACUGAGACACGGUCCAGACUCCUACGGGAGGCAGCAGUAGGGAAUCUUCCACAAUGGGCGAAAGCCUGACGGAGCAACGCCGCGUGAGUGAUGAAGGUCUUCGGAUCGUAAAACUCUGUUAUUAGGGAAGAACAUAUGUGUAAGUAACUGUGCACAUCUUGACGGUACCUAAUCAGAAAGCCACGGCUAACUACGUG